rnacentral:rRNA from 1 species
CACGUAGGGCGCAAACGUUGCUCGGAAUUAUUGGGCGUAAAGCGCGCGUAGGCGGUUACUUAAGUCGGAUGUGAAAGCCCUCGGCUUAACUGAGGAAGUGCACCCGAAACUGAGUAGCUAGAGUACGAAAGAGGGUCGCGGAAUUCCCGGUGUAGAGGUGAAAUUCGUAGAUAUCGGGAGGAACACCGGUGGCGAAGGCGGCGACCUGGGUCGAGACUGACGCUGAGGCGCGAAAGCGUGGGGAGCAAACAGG